rnacentral:rRNA from 1 species
GAUGAACGCUGGCGGCGUGCCUAAUACAUGCAAGUCGAGCGAACAGACGAGGAGCUUGCUCCUCUGACGUUAGCGGUGAACGGGUGAGUAACACGUGGAUAACCUACCUAUAAGACUGGGAUAACUUCGGGAAACCGGAGCUAAUACCGGAUAACAUGUUGAACCGCAUGGUUCAACAGUGAAAGACGGUCUUGCUGUCACUUAUAGAUGGAUCCGCGCCGCAUUAGCUAGUUGGUAAGGUAACGGCUUACCAAGGCAACGAUGCGUAGCCGACCUGAGAGGGUGAUCGGCCACACUGGAACUGAGACACGGUCCAGACUCCUACGGGAGGCAGCAGUAGGGAAUCUUCCGCAAUGGGCGAAAGCCUGACGGAGCAACGCCGCGUGAGUGAAGAAGGUCUUCGGAUCGUAAAACUCUGUUAUUAGGGAAGAACAAAUGUGUAAGUAACUAUGCACGUCUUGACGGUACCUAAUCAGAAAGCCACGGCUAACUACGUGCCAGCCGCCGCCGUAAGAC